rnacentral:siRNA from 1 species
CAGGUUGUGCUUGUUGAUGAU